rnacentral:rRNA from 1 species
AUGGCGUCCAUGUCCCCGGUGACGCCCGCGGCGGCCGAGCCCAGGCGCUCCACGCGCCUGCUGUCCAACACCAAGCCGGCCGACGCCGACGCCGACGCCGACGCGGAGGCUGAGGUCGAGCGCGAGCGGUCGACGUCGCGCGGCGGCAAGCGCCGGCGCAAGGCGGCGGGGAAGGGCACCGGCGCCCGGAAGAGGGCGGCCAAGGGCAAGCGGAAGGAGCCGGAGUCGGCGGCGGGGGCGAUGGAGGUGGAGGAUGCCGGCAGCGGGAUCAACGGCGACGUGUACCCGGAGGAGCCCGACUCGGAGGAGAUGAAGUUGAUCGAGGAGGAGGAGCAGGCCGACCAUGGAGAGGAGGGGUCCGCGGAGACGCGUGGCGCCAGGAAGAGGGUGGCCCCGCCGCGCGCCCAGAGGAGGCCGGAAGCCUCGGCGGACCACUUCGUGGGCGAGCCCAUUCCGGAUGACAAGGCCAGGCGACUCUGGCCGAGCCGCUACGAAACCAAGGAUUCUGAUUCACGCUCUAGGCGAUCUAAUGAUCCGGAGGAGGAAAUUGGCGCUCAAUGCCACUACACAUCUGCAUGUGUGGAUGAUGCAAUCUUCAACCUCAAUGAUGAUGUCUAUGUGAAGGCUGGUCCCAAUGAGGAAAAUUACAUUGGCCGGAUUACAGAGUUUUUUGAAGGAACAGAUCAUGUUUUAUAUUUCACAUGCCGUUGGUUUUUCCGUGCUGAAGAUACGGUCAUCUCACCCAACUUGCUAGAGGUCCAUGAUCAUGAACAUGAUCAGAAGCGUGUUUUCCUUUCAGAGGAAAAGAAUGAUAACAUGAUUGAGUCAAUAAUUUCUAAACUAAAUAUCAUUUAUGUUGACCCAAGUAAGACACCUCAAGAAAGAGAUCAGUUAAUAUCAAAUUCUGAUUUGUAUUAUGACAUGUCGUACUCAGUUGCAUAUUCAACAUUUGCAAAUAUUCCAGCAGAAAACGAUGGUGCAACAGACAGUGAAGUGGCAUCAGAUAUUUCCUGUGAAGAGGGGAAACCAGUGGCUGACCCUGUGGGAUCAUCUGAUGCACGAAGGGAAACAGCAACUCUGCUGGAUCUUUACUCUGGAUGUGGUGCCAUGUCAACCGGGCUUUGCCUGGGUGCUGCAUUGUCCGGCAUCAAACUAAAUACUAAAUGGGCUGUAGACAUGAAUGAAUAUGCUUGCAACAGUCUAAAGCAUAACCAUCCUGGCACCCAGGUACGAAAUGAGAAGGCGGAAGAUUUUCUUGCGCUCCUCCAGCACUGGAAUGCACUCUGUCAGAAGUAUGUCGUCCACAGUAGCAACUCUUCUGGCUCUGACCUGGCUCAGAUGUCAAAUGAUGACGAAGAUGAUGAAAAUGAAGCUCUACCAAAUGAUCUAUUUGAGGUAGAGAGACUUCUUGAUAUAUGCUAUGGCGAUCCCAAUAAAACCGGAAAAGAUGGCCUGUGGUUCAAGGUGCGGUGGAAAACAUAUGAUCCUAGUCAUGACUCAUGGGAGCCAAUUGAUGGACUUAGCGAUUCCCCUGAGUGUAUUAAGGAAUUUGUUCAGAGAGGAUAUAGGGAAUCUAUUUUGCCCUUGCCUGGGUCUGUUGAUGUUAUCUGUGGGGGUCCUCCCUGUCAAGGCAUCAGUGGAUUGAACAGAUUCAGGAAUUACAAUGAGCCGCUGGAAGAUGAUAGAAACAAACAGUUGGUUGUCUUUAUGGAUGUUGUUAACUAUCUGCGACCUAAAUAUGUUCUGAUGGAAAACGUCGUAGACAUUCUAAAAUUUGCAGAUGGAUUCCUGGGGCGAUAUGCGCUUAGUCGUCUUGUCUCCAUGAGAUACCAAGCUAGGCUUGGAUUGAUGGUUGCAGGAUGUUAUGGGUUACCUCAAUUUAGGAUGCGGGCCUUUCUGUGGGGAGCUCUUCCUUCUCGGGUUCUCCCAAAAUUCCCGCUUCCGACCCAUGAUGUUGUUAAGCGAGGAGUCGUACCCAAUGCAUUUUCGCAAUGUCUCGUUGCAUACGAUGAAAUAGACGACAAACGUUUAAAGAAAGCUCUUGUCCUUCAAGAUGCACUAUCUGAUUUACCAAAGGUUCCAAACUAUCAACCUAAUGAUCUCAUGGAAAAUCGCAUUAACCCCAAAACAGAGUUCCAGCGCUACAUCCGGCUCAGCCGUAAAGACAUGGAGGAUUACUCAUUUGGAGAUGCUACUCCUAGUCCUAAGGCAUGUCAACUGUUUGAUCAUCAACCGCUAGAGUUAAGCACUGAUGAUUAUCAAAGAGUGAAGCAAAUUCCUUUUAGAAAGGGGGCCAACUUCCGUGAUUUGAAGGGUGUCCAGGUUGGGGAAAAUAACACUGUUGAGUUUAAUCCACACAUUCCUCGUGUGUUUCUGCCUUCUGGAAAACCUUUGGUGCCUUACUAUGCCAUGACCUACAUCAAGGGGAAAUCACCGAAACCAUUCGGACGCCUGUGGUGGGAUGAAACUGUUCCAACCGUUGUCACCAGAGCCGAGCCUCACAACCAAAUUAUCUUGCAUCCCAACCAGCAUCGAGUUCUGACUGUCCGUGAAAAUGCACGGUUACAAGGUUUUCCAGACUAUUACAGGCUCUUUGGCCCUAUAAAACAGAAAUAUAUUCAGGUUGGCAAUGCGGUUGCUGUUCCCGUUGCUCGAGCUCUGGGAUAUUCCCUUGGACAGGCUUACCGUGGUGCAUUGGUUGGAGGGCAGCCACUGUUCGAACUGCCUGAGAAUUUUGCUUCUGUGGGUCAAGCAGCAGCCACAGCAUCACCUGUAGGAGUAGUGGAGAAGUAG